GGUUAACGCUGGCGGCGUGCCUUACACAUGCAAGUCGAACGGGGCUAUCAGCGAUGGUAGCUUAGUGGCGAACGGGUGAGGAAGACGCAGGGACCUACCGACCAGAGGGGGAUACCCGCUGGAAACGGCGGAUAAAACCGCAUACGCCCGGGUGAAAGCCCGGGGAAAAGCACUACGGUGUUACUGGACGAGGGACCUGCGGCCCAUCAGGUAGUUGGGGAGGUAACGGCUCACCAAGCCGACGACGGGUAUCUGGCGUGAGAGCGCGAACAGGCACAAGGACACUGAGAGACGGGUCCUACUCCUACGGGAGGCAGCAGUGGGGAAUAUUGGACAAUGGGCGAAAGCCUGAUCCAGCGACGCCGCGUGUCGGAAGGAGUCCUUCGGAGUGUAACGAACUUUGGUUGGAGACGAAUAAGACAGCUCAGGAAGUAGGGCGUGUGAUGACGGUAUCCAUGGAAGUAAGACCCGGCCGUAACUACGUGCCAGCAGCCGCGGUAAACUAGUAGUCGU
rnacentral:rRNA from 1 species